rnacentral:rRNA from 1 species
UGACGAGUUUGAUCCUGGCUCAGAUUGAACGCUGGCGGAAUGCUUUACACAUGCAAGUCGAACGGUAGAGGGGGCAACCCCUUGAGAGUGGCGAACGGGUGAGUAAUAUAUCGGAACGUGCCCAGUCGUGGGGGAUAACGUAGCGAAAGUUACGCUAAUACCACAUACGAUCUACGAAUGAAAGCGGGGGACUCGCAAGAGCCUCGCGCGAUUGGAGCGGCCGAUAUCAGAUUAGGUAGUUGGUGGGGUAAAGGCUCACCAAGCCAACGAUCUGUAGCUGGUCUGAGAGGACGACCAGCCACACUGGAACUGAGACACGGUCCAGACUCCUACGGGAGGCAGCAGUGGGGAAUUUUGGACAAUGGACGCAAGUCUGAUCCAGCCCAUUCCCGCGUGCAGGAUGAAGGCCCCUCGGGGUUGU